GCAUCAGUGGUUUAGUGGUAAAAUCCAUCGUUGCCAUUCCACCAGAACUUCCUCUGGCAGAUGAUUCGAUGGGCCCCGCGUUCGAUUCGCGGCUGAUGCA